rnacentral:sRNA from 2 species
UGUAUCUGAAGCCUGACGAGGAUGAGAACCUCCGGGGGCAAGAGGUUCGACCCGAGCGAAGCGAGAGAACGUUGCGUCAGCAACGGCCCGCAGGGCGAGCCACGCAGUGGCGAGUCAUCCUCUAUC